rnacentral:rRNA from 1 species
AGAGUUUGAUCCUGGCUCAGGACGAACGCUGGCGGCGCGCCUAACACAUGCAAGUCGAACGAGCGAGAGAGAGCUUGCUUUCUCGAGCGAGUGGCGAACGGGUGAGUAACGCGUGAGGAACCUGCCUCAAAGAGGGGGACAACAGUUGGAAACGACUGCUAAUACCGCAUAAGCCCACGGUGCCGCAUGGCACAGAGGGAAAAGGAGCAAUCCGCUUUGAGAUGGCCUCGCGUCCGAUUAGCUAGUUGGUGAGGUAACGGCCCACCAAGGCAACGAUCGGUAGCCGGACUGAGAGGUUGAACGGCCACAUUGGGACUGAGACACGGCCCAGACUCCUACGGGAGGCAGCAGUGGGGAAUAUUGCACAAUGGGGGAAACCCUGAUGCAGCGACGCCGCGUGGAGGAAGAAGGUCUUCGGAUUGUAAACUCCUGUUGUUGGGGAAGAUAAUGACGGUACCCAACAAGGAAGUGACGGCUAACUACGUGCCAGCAGCCGCGGUAAAACGUAGGUCACAAGCGUUGUCCGGAAUUACUGGGUGUAAAGGGAGCGCAGGCGGGAAGACAAGUUGGAAGUGAAAUCUAUGGGCUCAACCCAUAAACUGCUUUCAAAACUGUUUUUCUUGAGUAGUGCAGAGGUAGGCGGAAUUCCCGGUGUAGCGGUGGAAUGCGUAGAUAUCGGGAGGAACACCAGUGGCGAAGGCGGCCUACUGGGCACCAACUGACGCUGAGGCUCGAAAGUGUGGGUAGCAAACAGGAUUAGAUACCCUGGUAGUCCACACCGUAAACGAUGAUUACUAGGUGUUGGAGGAUUGACCCCUUCAGUGCCGCAGUUAACACAAUAAGUAAUCCACCUGGGGAGUACGACCGCAAGGUUGAAACUCAAAGGAAUUGACGGGGGCCC